GGAGUCAAUAUCGAAAUCUUAACCUAAGGUUAAUUUUUUAAAUGUCAUCAUAACUUAAGAAGUAUAUAGACCUAGUUCAUGAAACUUAGCCAUAAGGUUAAUCAAAUAUUACUGAACAUCCUGCCUGAGUUUCAGGUCACAUGACUAAGGUCAAAGGUCAUUUAGGGUCAAUGGACUUUGGCCAAGUUGGGGGUAUUUGUUGAAUUGCCAUCAUAACUUUGAACGUUUAUGGAUCUAAUUCAUAAAAAUUGGACAUAAGAGUAAUAAAAUAUCACUGAUAAUCCUGUGCGAGUGUCAGGUCACAUGACCAGGGUUAAAGGUCAUUUAAGGUUAAGGAACUUUGGCCAUUUGGGGGAUACUUGUUGAAUUACCAUCAGAACUCUGAAAUUGUAUUGGUCUAGUUCAUAAAACUUUGACAUAAGAGUAAUCAAGUAUCACUGAACAUCCUGUGCAAGUUUCAGAACUCUGAAAUUGUAUUGGUCUAGUUCAUAAAACUUGGACAUAAGAGUAAUCAAGUAUCACUGAACAUCCUGUGCAAGUUUCAGGUCAUAUGACUAAGGUCAAAGGUCAUUAAGGUCAAUGAACUUUGGCCAUGUUGGAGGUAAUCAUAAAAUUGCUGUCAUAACUUUCAAAGUUAAUGGAUAUAGUAUAUGAAUUGUGGACAUUGGGGUAAUCAAGUAUCACUGACAAGUCUUAGGUCACAUUAUCAAGGUCAAAUGUAAUUAGGGUCAAUGAACGUAGUAGCCUAUUGUAUCAUUAUAUGAAUGGUGUUUUUUGUGUAUAAUUAUUUUAUAGUAGUUUUCAAAGUCAGCACUGCUAACUGGUACAAAGAAAUAUGGCCACAUCAGUUGCAUUGGCUACCAAUUAAGUACAAAAUCGAAUUCAAAUCCUCCUUACUUUCAAGGCUGUGCAUGGUUUAGCUCCAAGAUACGUGACCUCCCUUAUAGAACAACGUCCUGGUGUACGUCCUGGCUUGUGCUCAUCUGCAACUGGUGUCACUCUUCAUGUACCCAUCACACACCUAAAGGGAUUUGGAGACCGUGCCUUUUCUUCUAUUGCUCCACGCUUUUGGAACUCCCUCCCUUCUUCACUUCAUGAAAUUGACAGCAUAGAACUCUUUAAACCGUCUAUCAAAACUCACUUAUUUCGACAGAUGUGUAGUGAUUAACUUAUUGGAUGAGCCUGCGCCUAUGAAUGUUUGAACAGAUAUAUGGCGCAAUAUAAAUGCUGUGGAUCAUCAUCAUCAUCAUCUAUAUUGAAUCGUGUAAUGCAGGUGAGACUGCCAGAGGCACUCCACUUGUUUAUGUUUUUGAUUUCUAAUAAUCACCUUUGCCUCGUAAAAUAUUUGAAGCUGGAUGUGGCAGACCGAGAAGAAACAGGUUUCUCGUCAACUAUCAUGCCACAUAUUCAUCACUUUUCCUAAGCCCGGUUUGAUUUCAUACUGCAGUUCUGAGCACCAUAGCUGGCUCACCCUGCUUGUUCGCAGGGUCAGAUAGUAUCGUACUAUUAACUAUGCUAGCCCACUUUGGUAAAACGUAGUGUGAAACCGAAGUGACUACAUGUAGGUUUAAAAACUGAUAACCUCAAAAUGGUAUAAGAGUACCCAUUUUCUUUGCCAUUGUUAUGGUUUGGAGGUAAAACUUCCAAACAGUUUUCUGGUAUUUACACCAGGAAUUCACCUAUAGGACCUAAUAUACGAAAGGUUCUUGUACUUUGAAAAUGAAAUGAGAGUAGAGAUCAUGUAGUCAUGUUUUGGAAGUAAAACAGUCCUCUACUCCUACUUCGUACUUCUGGAUGAGGAUUGGUGUUGCUAUUCGGUCUAUCAGCAUUUCACCCCAGAAAUUUGCCUGUGAGACCUAUGUGCCAACAGGUGACUGGGAUGAAGGUGUAUUUACCCGAAAGAGCUAUGAUGCUCCCAAGAUCUUGCAGAUGACCCUUAUGAGAUUUGUGAAUCAUUCGCCAUCUACAAUCAUGUCACAAUUAUCCUUUGAGGGUUAGUGAUUUAUUGUGAAUUAUCUUCGCACAUCCUCUUUCAUUUAAUUUCUUCACUUUUUUUUGUAUUGUAAGCAAAUCUCUGCCUAAUUACCUGAAAAACAUCUAGGAUAUGUAGAUUCAGUGUAUUUACUUACUACACAAUAAUGAAUGAUACCAAAGUGGUUUAGCAUAGCAAUGCAACCCUUUUCUCAGGAGAUUUUAAAAAUAUUGAUAAUUUUGCUGAAUAAAUCAUAAAAUGCUUUAUAGAGUUCAUACAUGUAGGAAACAAGAACAAGUCUUACUCGGCAGUGUAUGUGCUAAAAAAAAUGUCUGCCUCUCUAUCAAGAUCUGACUCUCUGGUACGAUGGACCCCUUGCCCAAUGUCCACUUUAUAGUAAUGCACUUGUUAGGGUCUUGUGCACAUACCUGUGCAGACCCACAAUCCCAUGAUUUAGAAAACGCAGCAGAUAAGCUGACAUUCUCAAGAGAACUGCUGUACAACAACCCUCUGAGUAACUGUACUUUGGUGCCUAUACACAUCAAGGCAGAUCAGUCAGCAGUCCAUUAGAUAACAUGACUACAGCAGCAGUGGAAGCAGUAGAGAUAGAGACCGUGAACGAGAGAGGGAUCGUGCCCAGCGAGAACGAGAAAGGGAACGGGAACAGGAAGUACGAGAGAGGGAACACGAACGAGAGAGGGAACAUCGUGAAUGUGAAAGGGUGAAGGAAAGGGAGAAGUCUCCAGUGAAGCGAUCCAGGUCUCCACAUCAAUCCAAGUCGCCGAGAAGAUCACCAAGGCAUACCAAGAGAGUAGUACAACGAUACUGUGUUCAGAUCCCAUGCUUUGCUCUGGAUAUGUGA